rnacentral:misc_RNA from 1 species
GAUGAAGAACGUAGCGAAAUGCGAUAAGUAAUGUGAAUUGCAGAAUUCAGUGAAUCAUCGAAUCUUUGAACGCACAUUGCGCCCGCCAGUAUUCUGGCGGGCAUGCCUGUUCGAGCGUCAUUUCAACCAUCAAGCCCCCGGCUUGUGUUGGGGACCUGCGGCUGCCGCAGGCCCUGAAAACCAGUGGCGGGCUCGCUGUCACACCGAGCGUAGUAGAUUUUCAUCUCGCUCAGGGCGUGCUGCGGGUUCCGGCCGUAAAAAGCCUUAUUUACCCAAGGUUGACCUCGGAUCAGGUAGGAAGACCCGCUGAACUUAAGCAUAUCAAUAAGAGGAGGA